GACGAACGCUGGCGGCGUGCUUAACACAUGCAAGUCGAACGGAAAGGCUCCAGCUUGCUGGAGUACUCGAGUGGCGAACGGGUGAGUAACACGUGGGUAAUCUGCCCUGCACUCUGGGAUAAGCCUGGGAAACUGGGUCUAAUACUGGAUAUGACCUUUCUCCUUAUGGGGUUUGGUGGAAAGUUUUUCGGUGUAGGAUUAGCCCGCGGCCUAUCAGCUUGUUGGUGGGGUGAUGGCCUACCAAGGCGACGACGGGUAGCCGGCCUGAGAGGGUGAUCGGCCACAUUGGGACUGAGAUACGGCCCAGACUCCUACGGGAGGCAGCAGUGGGGAAUAUUGCACAAUGGGCGGAAGCCUGAUGCAGCGACGCCGCGUGAGGGAUGACGGCCUUCGGGUUGUAAACCUCUUUCAGCAGGGACGAAGCGUAAGUGACGGUACCUGCAGAAGAAGCACCGGCUAACUAUGUG
rnacentral:rRNA from 1 species